GAUGAAGAACGUAGCGAAAUGCGAUAAGUAAUGUGAAUUGCAGAAUUCAGUGAAUCAUCGAAUCUUUGAACGCACAUUGCGCCCGCCAGUAUUCUGGCGGGCAUGCCUGUUCGAGCGUCAUUUCAACCAUCAAGCCCCCGGCUUGUGUUGGGGACCUGCGGCUGCCGCAGGCCCUGAAACCAGUGGCGGGCUCGCUAGUCACUCCGAGCGUAGUAAUACAUCUCGCUCAGGGCGUGCUGCGGGUUCCGGCCGUUAAAAGCCUUAUUUACCCAAGGUUGACCUCGGAUCAGGUAGGAAGACCCGCUGAACUUAAGCAUAUCAUAAGCGGAGGA
rnacentral:misc_RNA from 1 species